GCUGGAUGUAAUUCAGGAGAGAAUAAAGAGAUCUUAGUUCGAAGUUUCUCAACACUUUUCAACUCAAACCCUUAAAAUUAGACAUUCUUGAAAAUGCCUCCAAAAAAAAAAAAUAGAAUCCUUUACCCUUUGCCUCCCAUAUCCAUUGCCCCCACUCCUCGCAGAAGAAUCAGAUUACAAAACAUUGAAUUGCUGCCAUUCACGUCUCUACCCAUUAAUCUAUUCUUCACUCUGGAUUCUUCUCUCUUUUUUAUUCUAUACUAUAGUAUAUGGUCUGGUGGUUCAUAUCUGUUGGGUUAAGGAGCUUCUGCAAUCAAGGGAGGAAGAUGUCAUAUCAGAUAUGAUAUUGACAGAUUACGCUGAUUGGAAAUGGAUGAGAAGAUAGGAAGAAAGGUUUUGGAUGUUUUUAAGAUUGUUGAGGAAGCGUUUUCUGUAUAGGAGUAUUGAGGGAGCUCAUUAAGCUUAUUAAGGUUCUUAUCUUCUCUUUCUCAAUUUUCUUUUUCCAAUGACCAAAUUUUAUUUUUUAUGAAUAGAUCUACAAGGAACCAUGAAGCUAUUGCAAUGUCUUUCCUUGUAGCAAAUGCAAUUGGUGCUCAUAUCAAUGACCAUUGACUUUCUGUUGCCAUUCAUAUUAGCAUCAUUUGCUGCAAAUUUUCACUUUCACGGUUUUUCAAUACUUCGUUUCUUGAAGUUAAUGUCAGCAAUCUUCGACCAAAUCUAUAAGGACCAACUAGAAGAGAAUAGGGAUCUCUUAGCUAUCGAAGUAUAGAGGCAUUUUGUUCUUGAGACUAGCUUCAGAUUUAAAUUGUGCAAUUGGGACUUUGUCUUGUCAAAUUUCUGUAGGCAGUAGGUAGUGACUGUGAUUGUUCAUUAUUAUUAUUUUUUUUUGUCUAUUAUAAUAUCUGUGGAAGAGGCGAUUAACUAGG
rnacentral:lncRNA from 1 species